GUGACGUUAGACUGCUCCUGUGCAUGCUAACACGGAGUAGCCCGAAAGUCUUCAGAUGAAAUGUCCGUGAAAUAGUUAUCACGAAGUUCAAAGUACGGAGUGGUGUUUUUUUUUUUUUUUUAGUUUAAGUUUCUAAACUUCUCAGUCUACAAAGAUGUUUUCAUCUGUGUGGAAUUUUAUUAAACGUCACAAAAGGAAAUUUAUUUUCACCGGAGCUUUUAUCGGAGGAGUGUACUUUCUGGGUAAGUAUGCUCAGAAGAAGAUCGGGGAUAUCCAGGAGAAGGAGGCGACGGAGUACAUCGCUCAGGCCAGACGACAGUUCCACUUUGAAAGCAACCAGAGAACGUUCAACAUGACGGUGCUGUCCAUGCUCCCUCCACUAAA